GGAACUGUGGUGUACUGGGUGUGCACAUCCCCUUGAAGACGGGAAAGUAUCUGUUCAACUCAGGUCGGUUCCA
rnacentral:tRNA from 1 species